CUGGUCUUUCCUUCACAUUGCAACAUGAAUCACACUAUAACAAAACGGCUCUACAAACUCUGAGAAACAAUGAAAACAAUCCAACCAGAUAAGAUUCAAAUUUCAGUCACAACUUAAAGGAUGAAGAUGAUCUCCAGGAUCCUGCUGCUCCUCAUCCUCAGCUCAUGUCUCUGUGCAGCAACAUUUGUAGUGAAUGUGACACAGAGCAGCUAUCAGGCAGAGGAGAACCACAGCAUCACUCUGGAGUGGACCUUCCCCACCAAGA